rnacentral:rRNA from 1 species
GUGGGGAAUAUUGGGCAAUGGGCGAAAGCCUGACCCAGCAACGCCGCGUGAAGGAAGAAGGUUUUCGGAUCGUAAACUUCUAUCCUUGGUGAAGAUAAUGACGGUAGCCAAGAAGGAAGCCCCGGCUAACUACGUGCCAGCAGCCGCGGUAAUACGUAGGGGGCAAGCGUUGUCCGGAAUGAUUGGGCGUAAAGGGCGCGUAGGCGGCCCGGGAAGUCUGAAGUGAAAGUCCUGCUUUUAAGGUGGGAAUUGCUUUGGAUACUGUCGGGCUUGAGUGCAGGAGAGGUAAGCGGAAUUCCCGGUGUAGCGGUGAAAUGCGUAGAGAUCGGGAGGAACACCAGUGGCGAAGGCGGCUUACUGGACUGUAACUGACGCUGAGGCGCGAAAGUGUGGGGAGCAAACAGGAUUAGAAACCCCUGUAGUCC